rnacentral:rRNA from 1 species
CGCAGCUAUACAUGCAGUCGAGCGAUGACGAAGAAGCUUGCUUCUUCUGAUUUAGCGGCGGACGGGUGAGUAACACGUGGGCAACCUGCCCUGUAGAUUGGGAUAACUCCGGGAAACCGGGGCUAAUACCGAAUAAUCCAUUUCCUCWCAUGGGGAGAUGUUAAAAGACGGYUUCKGSUGUCACUWCMRGAUGGGSCCGCGGCGCAUUARCUARKUGGUGAAGUWACCGCUCAACMARGGSACCAUGCGUARSCCAACUGGGAAGGUGAUUGGSCACACUGGGACUGGGACACCGSCCAGAAUCCUUCSGGAAGGMRSMRKWRGGAAUCUUCCACCAUGGACSAAAGUCUGAUGGAGUAUGGCGCGUGARUGAGACGUUUCAGAUCGUAACACUCUGCUGUGAGGAGACAGUAYGAGAGUACUGCUCGUACUGACGUACUCAUAGAAGCACGCUACUACGUGCAGCAGCGCGUAUACGUAGUGCAGCGUGUCGAUAUGACGUAGCGCGCGCAGCGUCUUAGUCUGAUGUGAUCCACGCUCACGUGAGUCAUGAACUGAGACUGAGUACAGAGAGAGCGAUCAGUGUAGCGUGAUGCGUAGAGAUGAGACACAGUGCGAGCGCUCUGUCUGUACUGACGCUGAGCCGAGCGUGGAGCAACAGAUAGAUACUGUAGUCACGCGUAACGAUGAGUGCUAGUGUAGGUCGCCUAGUGCUGCAGCUACGCAUAGACUCGCUGGAUACGUCGCAGA